AGUGAACGCUGGCGGUAGGCCUAACACAUGCAAGUCGAACGGCAGCACAGUAAGAGCUUGCUCUUACGGGUGGCGAGUGGCGGACGGGUGAGGAAUACAUCGGAAUCUACUUUUUCGUGGGGGAUAACGUAGGGAAACUUACGCUAAUACCGCAUACGACCUACGGGUGAAAGCAGGGGAUCUUCGGACCUUGCGCGAUUGAAUGAGCCGAUGUCGGAUUAGCUAGUUGGCGGGGUAAAGGCCCACCAAGGCGACGAUCCGUAGCUGGUCUGAGAGGAUGAUCAGCCACACUGGAACUGAGACACGGUCCAGACUCCUACGGGAGGCAGCAGUGGGGAAUAUUGGACAAUGGGCGCAAGCCUGAUCCAGCCAUACCGCGUGGGUGAAGAAGGCCUUCGGGUUGUAAAGCACUUUUGUUGGGAAAGAAAAGCAGCAGGUUAAUACCACGCUGUUCUGACGGUACCCAAAGAAUAAGCACCGGCUAACUUCGUG
rnacentral:rRNA from 1 species